rnacentral:rRNA from 1 species
UACAGAGGGGGCAAGCGUUGUUCGGAAUUACUGGGCGUAAAGGGCGCGUAGGCGGCCUGUUAAGUCGAACGUGAAAUCCCCGGGCUCAACCCGGGAACUGCGUCCGAUACUGGCAGGCUUGAAUUCGGGAGAGGGAUGUGGAAUUCCAGGUGUAGCGGUGAAAUGCGUAGAGAUGGGGGAGAACACUCGUGGCGAAGGCGGCCAGCUAGACCAGUUCUGACACUGAGGCGCGACAGCGUGGGGAGCAAACAGG